GCCCGAGUCGCGCAACAGGUAGACGCGCCCGCCUUAAAAGCGGCUCAGUGCCGGUUCGAAUCCGGCCUCGGGCA
rnacentral:tRNA from 1 species